rnacentral:rRNA from 1 species
AGUCGAGGGGCAGCAUUUCAGUUUGCUUGCAAACUGGAGAUGGCGACCGGCGCACGGGUGAGUAACACGCUAUCCNACCUGCCGAUAACUCGGGGAUAGCCUUUCGAAAGAAAGAUUAAUACCCGAUGGUAUAAUCAGACCGCAUGGUCUUAUUAUUAAAGAAUUUCGGUUAUCGAUGGGGAUGCGUUCCAUUAGGCAGUUGGUGAGGUAACGGCUCACCAAACCUUCGAUGGAUAGGGGUUCUGAGAGGAAGGUCCCCCACAUUGGAACUGAGACACGGUCCAAACUCNUACGGGAGGCAGCAGUGAGGAAUAUUGGUCAAUGGGCGCAGGCCUGAACCAGCCAAGUAGCGUGAAGGAUGACUGCCCUAUGGGUUGUAAACUUCUUUUAUAUGGGAAUAAAGUUUUCCACGUGUGGAAUUUUGUAUGUACCAUAUGAAUAAGGAUCGGCUAACUCCGUGCCAGCAGCCGCGGUAAUACGGAGGAUCCGAGCGUUAUCCGGAUUUAUUGGGUUUAAAGGGAGCGUAGGUGGACAGUUAAGUCAGUUGUGNAAAGUUUGCGGCUCAACCGUAAAAUUGCAGUUGAUACUGGCUGUCUUGAGUACAGUAGAGGUGGGCGGAAUUCGUGGUGUAGCGGUGAAAUGCUUAGAUAUCACGAAGAACUCCGAUUGCGAAGGCAGCUCACUGGACUGCAACUGACACUGAUGCUCGAAAGUGUGGGUAUCAAACAGGAUUAGAUACCCUGGUAGUCCACACAGUAAACGAUGAAUACUCGCUGUUUGCGAUAUACAGUAAGCGGCCAAGCGAAAGCAUUAAGUAUUCCACCUGGGGAGUACGCCGGCAACGGUGAAACUCAAAGGAAUUGACGGGGGCCCGCACAACCGAAGGAACAUGUGGUUUAAUUCGAUGAAACGCGAGGAACCUUACCCGGGCUUAAAUUGCAUUUGAAUANUNUGGAAACAGNNUAGCCGCAAGGCAAAUGUGAAGGUGCUGCAUGGUUGUCGUCAGCUCGUGCCGUGAGGUGUCGGCUUAAGUGCCAUAACGAGCGCAACCCUUAUCUUUAGUUACUAACAGGUCAUGCUGAGGACUCUAGAGAGACUGCCGUCGUAAGAUGUGAGGAAGGUGGGGAUGACGUCAAAUCAGCACGGCCCUUACGUCCGGGGCUACACACGUGUUACAAUGGGGGGUACAGAAGGCAGCUACCUGGUGACAGGAUGCUAAUCCCAAAAGCCUCUCUCAGUUCGGAUCGAAGUCUGCAACCCGACUUCGUGAAGCUGGAUUCGCUAGUAAUCGCGCAUCAGCCAUGGCGCGGUGAAUACGUUCCCGGGCCUUGUACACACCGCCCGUCAAGCCAUGAAAGCCGGGGGUACCUGAAGUACGUAACCGCAAGGAG